GGGUCAGUAGGUUGGUCGUGCCACCGGUACGUACUGUUCUCACUGAUUCCUCCUUCCUGAAGAACCGUAAUGCCAUUAAUUUGGUGUUGCGGGGAAACCGGACUGUUACUUUGAAAAAAUUAGAGUGUUUAAAGCAAGCUAACGCUUGAAUACAUUAGCAUGGAAUAAUGAAAUAGGACGAUCGAUCCUAUUUUGUUGGUUUCUAGGAUUGACGUA
rnacentral:rRNA from 1 species